GUCGAACGCGAAAGUCCCCUUCGGGGGACAAGUAGAGUGGCGCACGGGUGAGUAACACGUAGGUAAUCUACCUUUGGAUUGGGAAUAACCACCGGAAACGGUGGCUAAUACCGAAUAAUGCAGCGGCACCUAAUGGUGACAGUUGUUAAAGCGGGGGAUCGCAAGACCUCGCGUCUGAAGAGGAGCCUGCGGCAGAUUAGCUAGUUGGUAAGGUAACGGCUUACCAAGGCGAUGAUCUGUAGCCGGCCUGAGAGGGCGGUCGGCCACACUGACACUGACAUACGGGUCAGACUCCUACGGGAGGCAGCAGUCGGGAAUUUUGGGCAAUGGGCGAAAGCCUGACCCAGCAACGCCGCGUGAAGGAUGAAAUCCUUCGGGAUGUAAACUUCGCAAGAACGGGAAGAAUGAGUAAGGGUUAAUAUCUCUUACGAUGACGGUACUGUUUGUAAGCUCCGGCUAACUCCGUGCCAGCAGCCGCGGUAAUACGGGGGGAGCAAGCGUUGUUCGGAUUUACUGGGCGUAAAGGGCGCGUAGGCGGCCACCGCAAGUCGACUGUGAAAUCUCCGGGCUUAACCCGGAAAGGUCAGCCGAUACUGCGGGGCUAGAGUGCAGAAGGGGCAACUGGAAUUCUCGGUGUAGCGGUGAAAUGCGUAGAUAUCGAGAGGAACACCUGCGGCGAAGGCGGGUUGCUGGGCUGACACUGACGCUGAGGCGCGAAAGCUAGGGGAGCGAACGGGAUUAGAUACCCCGGUAGUCCUAGCCUUAAACGAUGAAUGCUUGGUGUCU
rnacentral:rRNA from 1 species